UACAGAGGGGGCAAGCGUUGUUCGGAAUUACUGGGCGUAAAGGGCGCGUAGGCGGCCUGCUAAGUCGAACGUGAAAUCCCCGGGCUCAACCCGGGAACUGCGUCCGAUACUGGCAGGCUUGAAUCCGGGAGAGGGAUGUGGAAUUCCAGGUGUAGCGGUGAAAUGCGUAGAUAUCUGGAGGAACACCGGUGGCGAAGGCGGCAUCCUGGACCGGCAUUGACGCUGAGGCGCGAAAGCUAGGGGAGCGAACGAGG
rnacentral:rRNA from 1 species